rnacentral:rRNA from 1 species
GACGAACGCUGGCGGCGUGCCUAAUACAUGCAAGUAGAACGCACAGUUUAUACCGUAGCUUGCUACACCAUAAACUGUGAGUUGCGAACGGGUGAGUAACGCGUAGGUAACCUGCCUGGUAGCGGGGGAUAACUAUUGGAAACGAUAGCUAAUACCGCAUAAUAUUAAUUAUUGCAUGAUAAUUGAUUGAAAGAUGCAAUUGCAUCACUACCAGAUGGACCUGCGUUGUAUUAGCUAGUAGGUGAGGUAACGGCUCACCUAGGCGACGAUACAUAGCCGACCUGAGAGGGUGAUCGGCCACACUGGGACUGAGACACGGCCCAGACUCCUACGGGAGGCAGCAGGAGGGAAUCUUCGGCAAUGGACGAAAGUCUGACCGAGCAACGCCGCGGGAGUGAAGAAGGUUUUCGGAUCGUAAAGCUCUGUUGUAAGAGAAGAACGGGUGUGAGAGUGGAAAGUUCACACUGUGACGGUAUCUUACCAGAAAGGGACGGCUAACUACGUG